AUGGCUCGCUUUCUUCAUUUCGCUUUCUGCUUCAUCCUCGUAGCCCUAACCACAAACCCUAGCCUCCUCCGAGCAGAUGACGACGAGUUGAACGAUUCCGAUUCCGAAUCCAAUCUCUUCCACCAGGACUACUCGCCGCCGGCUCCGCCACCGCCGCCGCCGCUCCCGCCGUCGGUGUCCUGCACCGACGACCUCGGCGGCGUCGGGUCGCUGGACACCACGUGUCAGAUAGUCUCUGAUGCGAACCUCACCGGAGACGUGUAUAUACAUGGGAGAGGAAACUUUUAUAUCCUGCCCGGGGUGAGAUUCCAUUGUGCGACUCCUGGUUGCUCCAUAAUCGUUAACAUUACUGGUAAUUUUAGCUUAGGUAACUCGUCGUCGAUUUUCGCCGGAGAUUUUGAGCUCGUGGCGUUCAAUGCAAGCUUCCACAACGGCUCGGCGGUGAACACUACCGCUUUGGCGGGGAAGCCGCCGCCGCAGACGAGCGGGACUCCGCAGGGGAUAGAUGGCGCCGGCGGGGGGCAUGGAGGCCGCGGCGCGUGUUGUUUGGUGGACCGGACGAAGCUUCCGGAAGACGUGUGGGGCGGCGACGCCUACUCAUGGUCGUCGCUGCAGAAGCCGUGUAGUUUUGGGAGCCGAGGCGGUUCGACGAGCAAGGAAGUGGAUUAUGGAGGCUUAGGGGGAGGGAUAGUGAAGCUGGAGAUUAGGAAUUAUCUGGAGGUGAAUGGAAGUGCUUUGGCUGAUGGAGGUGAUGGAGGUUCGAAAGGCGGAGGUGGUUCUGGUGGCAGCAUCUACAUUAAGGCUCAGAGAAUGACUGGUAGUGGCAGGAUAAGUGCUUGUGGUGGUAAUGGUUAUGCUGGUGGCGGUGGUGGAAGAGUGUCAAUUGAUGUUUUUAGCAGGCAUGAUUAUCCUGCAGUAUUUGUGCAUGGAGGAAGUAGCAAUGCUUGCCCAGAAAAUGCAGGUGGUGCUGGUACUUUAUAUGACGCAGUUCCUCGAAGCCUUAUUAUUAGCAAUCAUAACAAGUCAACAGAUACAGAAACGCUUCUUUUAGAGUUCCCUUAUCAGCCUCUUUGGACAAAUGUAUAUGUUCGAAACAAAGCUAGGGCUACUGUCCCUCUGCUUUGGAGUCGAGUCCAGGUGCAAGGACAGAUAAGUCUUCUAUGUGACGGUGUGCUAAGCUUUGGACUUCAACAUUAUGCUUCAUCAGAGUUUGAGUUAUUGGCUGAAGAAUUGCUAAUGAGCGAUUCUGUAAUAAAGGUGUAUGGGGCCUUGCGCAUGUCUGUAAAAAUGUUCUUGAUGUGGAAUUCCAAGAUGCUCAUAGAUGGUGGUGGAGAAGAAGCUGUUGAAACAUCCUUACUGGAGGCUAGUAACUUGAUUGUUCUCAGGGAGUCAUCUGUGAUACACUCUAAUGCAAAUUUGGGAGUUCAUGGACAAGGGUUACUGAACCUAUCAGGAGCAGGAGAUUGGAUUCAAGCACAACGUCUGGUUUUGUCACUAUUCUACAGUAUUCAUGUUGGGCCUGGAUCUGUUUUGCGUGGCCCCUUGGAGAACGCAACAUCUGAUUCUGUAACACCAAAGCUCUACUGUGAAAAUGAAGAUUGCCCUGUUGAGCUACUUCAUCCACCUGAAGAUUGCAAUGUGAACUCCUCACUGUCCUUUACACUCCAGAUAUGCCGGGUUGAGGAUAUCAACAUUUUAGGCCACAUAAAAGGAUCCGUUGUUCAUUUUCACAGGGCAAGGACUAUUGCUGUCCACUCUACUGGAAUGAUAAGUGCAUCAGGAAUGGGCUGCACUGGUGGUAUUGGGAGUGGCAACGUUCUAAGCAAUGGAAUUGGCAGUGGUGGUGGGCAUGGCGGUAAAGGUGGGGCUGCAUGUAGUAAUAAUGGUAGUUGUGUUGAAGGUGGAAUUUCAUAUGGGAAUGCAAAGUUGCCUUGUGAACUUGGUAGUGGAAGUGGAUAUGACAUUACAGCUGGUUCAACUGCUGGUGGUGGUAUUAUUGUAAUGGGUUCUGUAGAACAUCCAUUGUCAAGUUUGACUGUUGAAGGCUUGGUGACAUCUGAUGGUGAAAGUUUUGAAAGAAACACAGUAAUUGGAAAGCUUCCUAUUGCUGAUAGUUUAAGUGGACAUCCUGGGGGUGGGUCUGGUGGAACAAUACUUCUCUUCUUGCGAACAUUAACUCUUGGUGAAUCUGCCAAUCUUUCAACUGUUGGUGGAUAUGGAAGCUCCAAUGGGUCAGGUGCCGGUGGUGGUGGAAGAAUUCAUUUUCAUUGGUCAGACAUUCCCACUGGAGAUGUGUAUCAGCCAAUUGCGAGUGUUGAAGGAAACAUCCAUGCAAGGGGAGGGAGAGGCAGAGACCAGGGUGGUGCUGGAGAGGAUGGGACAGUGACGGGAAAAGCAUGCCCAAAGGGGUUGUAUGGGACCUUUUGUGAGGAAUGUCCAGCUGGCACUUAUAAGAAUGUCAUUGGGUCUGAUGGGGCACUUUGUCAAAAUUGUCCUGCUGAUCAGCUUCCCCAACGUGCAGUUUAUAUUUCUGUCCGAGGUGGAGUUGCCGAGACACCGUGUCCUUACAAAUGCAUUUCAGAUAGAUAUCACUUGCCAAACUGUUAUACGGCUCUUGAAGAGUUGAUCUACACAUUUGGUGGGCCUUGGCUAUUUGGUCUUCUUCUGAUUGGUCUCCUCAUACUAUUAGCUUUGGUGCUAAGUGUUGCACGUAUGAAAUUUGUUGGGGUUGAUGAAGCACCAGGCCCAGCUCCCACUCAGCAUGGCUCACAAAUAGACCAUUCUUUUCCAUUCCUUGAAUCUUUGAACGAGGUUUUGGAAACAAAUAGAGCUGAGGAGUCCCAUAGCCAUGUGCACAGAAUGUAUUUUAUGGGUCCAAAUACAUUCAGUGAACCUUGGCAUCUGCCUCGCACUCCUCCAGAACAAAUAAAGGAAAUUGUAUAUGAAGGUCCAUUCAAUACAUUUGUUGCUGAGAUCAAUGCCAUAACCACUUAUCAGUGGUGGGAGGGAGCAAUGUACAUCAUUCUUGCUGUUCUUGCAUACCCCCUUGCCAUCUCAUGGCAACAGUGGCGCCGAAGAUUGAAAUUGCAACGCCUGCGUGAAUUUGUUCGAUCAGAAUAUGAUCAUGCCUGUUUACGGUCUUGUCGUUCACGUGCUCUAUAUGAAGGAAUUAAGGUAAAUGCAACCGCUGAUUUAAUGCUAGCUUAUGUGGACUUCUUCCUUGGUGGGGAUGAAAAGAGAACUGAUCUUCCUCCUCGUUUACAUCAAAGAUUUCCUAUGUCAUUACCUUUUGGAGGUGAUGGAAGUUACAUGGCUCCUUUCUGUCUUCACAGUGAUAAUAUUGUCACAAGUCUCAUGAGUCAGUCGAUCCCACCUACCACAUGGUACCGAAUGGUGGCUGGUUUGAAUGCGCAAUUACGCUUAGUUUGCCGUGGAAGGCUAAGAGUUACACUCCUACCUGUCCUUACGUGGCUUGAAAGCCAUGCCAAUCCGGCUCUGAGGAAUUAUGGUGUACAUGUUGAUCUUGCGUGGUUUCAGGCUACUGCUUGUGGUUAUCGCCAUUAUGGACUUGUGGUGUAUGCUCGUGAAGAAGACAACGUUCCUGUUUCUGUUGGGAGCAUUGAUGGAGCAAUUGGAAAUGAAGAGUCACGUGCAAGUAGCAUUUACAAAGAAGAUUCCUCUGUUCAUUUGAUAGAAGAACCACUAAUAAGCCAUUCCCACAGAAGCAAUAUGAAUCGUGUGAGGCGAAGGAGAGCAUGUGGAGGGAUUGUGGAUGCCGACAAUUUACAAAUGCUCGAGGACAAGAGAGAUAUAUUUUAUCCUCUCUCUUUUAUGCUUCAUAAUACUAAACCUGUUGGACACCAGGAUCUUGUUGGUUUAGUCAUCUCAAUGCUUCUUUUAGGAGAUUUUAGUUUAGUUUUGCUCACAUUACUCCAGCUGUAUUCGUUUUCACUAGUGGACGUCUUUCUGGUUCUGUUUUUUUACCACUUGGCUUUCUUCUCCCAUUUCCUGCUGGCAUCAAUGCUCUAUUCAGUCAUGGACCCAGACGUUCUGCCGGCCUCGCACGUAUACAUGCUCUGUGGAAUGUUACAUCCUUAAUUAAUGUUGUGGUUGCUUUCAUUUGUGGAUAUGCUCACUUUAACAGUCAAGCGUCAAGUAAAAAACAUCCAUUACAACCCUGGAAUAUAAGCAUGGAUGACAGUGAAUGGUGGAUUUUUCCUGCGGGUCUGGUUGUGUGUAAAAUUUUGCAAUCACAGCUAAUCAAUUGGCAUGUUGCCAACCUGGAGAUUCAAGACCGCUCCUUGUACAGCAAUGAUUUUGAGCUGUUCUGGCAAUCCUGAUAAUUUUUAACAGGAGAAUGCUCUGCCACAUUAACACGGUUUUUGGCCCUUUUGUAAUACAAUUCCUCUAUGCUAUUUUGACAGUAGGAGUGAGUGACAUAGGCAGGUAGCAAAAGAAAAGUGUUGAAUAUGAAUUGUGAAAGUGAAAAGAAAUAGAAGAGAGACAGAUAGGCACUGAUAUUAAUGUAACCACUUUUGAACAAUUGAUGCAUUUUUCUGUAUAUAUAGUAAUUGGGGCAUAUACCCACUCUUUGGUGGAUUUAAGUCUUCGCAUUGUCCAUUUUCUUGC